UUGCAACUAGCUUACACUCAUUUUACUUAAAAGUAUGAAGGCUAUAUUUUUUAUUUAUUUUCUUCUUCAUUUUUUUCUGAUGUCAGAUUUGCCAUUUUGUUUCCCAUGUCCCUUUACUCUAUGGGUCUUGUUUUAGGUCUUCUGCUCACGGUGCUUCUUGGAAUAAGGAAAGUUCUCUCUAGACCAGAGUUCUGCCCAAGAAUCGGGGACAGAAUGAGCAAGUAUGAUCUGGAGAAGCUAUCAGUUUCCACUUUGGUAUAUUAUCUCGGAAAGCUGUUGAAGCAAAUCAGCCACAUUUUUUCUAUUUGAGUAUUUGGUUCUGCUAAGCUUUCAGCAUCCCCUUUGGAUCAUCUUGGUUCACAGCAAGCCCAUAUCUCACACAUCCUCUGUUUCAUGAUUGGCAGUUGUUGUUUCUCUCUUCAAAUGACUGUGAUAAGCAGACUCACAGGAUCCAUAAAACCUUUCAAGACAGAGAGAAGAUUAGACUAGCUUUAGGCAUGCUGUCAUGGAGAAGAUGGUGGUUCUUCCCUUCUUUUUCUUCAUAUUGAUGGACACUUUCAUAAAGAGAAGCAAGGUGAUGACUCCAUGGAUCUGCGAGGGCCUGGGAUCUGCAUCUCUAGCAAUCUCCCAGGUGAUGCCAAUGCUGCCGGGGAGGACAGCUGGAGAAACAAGAGGCUUUCUAGGACACCACAUGCAGGAGGGUUGGGAGAGCUGCAGAAGUAGCUAAAACAGAAAACAGCAGAGUCUCAUCACAGCAGGGCUGGAGCAAGAGCUGGCUGGAAGAAUGGACUUUGCAGGGGGAUGGAAAAAAGCCUUAAUGAAUCUUACUCUCUGACUGAAAUUUGGAGAUUAAAUUCAAACCUUUCAACCUCAUCACAAUUAUCUCCCGAAUUUGCCCAUAACAGCCUGGUAUAGAGCAAUGUCUUCCUCCCAUUCCCACCAUCUUUAACUAGAAUGCAACAGUUCUAGGGACUCUCUUUCUAGAACAGUUGUUCUAAGUGUUGUUGCUGAGCCAGUAACAUCUGCAGCACCUGGGAAGAUGCUAAAAAUGCAAAUUCUUGGGCUCCCUCAGAUCCACUGAAUCAGAGACUUAGGAGGGUGGGGCCCAGCAGGCUGUGUUUUAACAAACCCUCUGCAUGAUUCUAAUGCAUGCUGUAGAAUCACCAGUUACAUAUUUAUUUGAACAGAGACUUUUGGCAGAUAGAGACUUCACCAUGGAGCUAAGUAACUCUCAGCAUGCGGAGAAUUAAUGUUUUAACCUUAGCACCAGCGCUAAGGAGAUCCAUAAUGAAGUGAAACAUCUUGGGGACUGACCCAGGGAGUAGAAUAAUUCUAGAAAAAAAAAAAGGUUGAUAUGAGAUGUAGAUGUUAUACAGAAUUGUGGAUCAAAAUUAAAUGAUAAAAAAUCAACAGAAAAAGAAGAAGGAAAAGGGAGAGGAAGAAGAAGAGGAGAGCCAUUUUUAAUACCCUAGAAAUUUCACUUAUAAUGAAAUUGGGUUGGCAACUACCUCUGGCUCCAAGUGCAGUGUUUGAGGCUGGUCAGAGGUGCAGGCAUUCCUCAACAGGAACGUGACAACAAGCAGUCCCUGAUCCUUGAUGAGGACAACAUCUACACAGGCCUGCUACUGGCACCUGGGAAGUUUACACAUCUUUACAAAACUCAAAAUCCAGUUCUAAAUAUGCUCAUGCUUUGGUGAUGACGAAUUAGUACUCCCUUCAUACAUGAACGAGAAAACUCUGGGUAACUCAUGAUAUGUAAAGGUAAAACAAUGUGUUUGUUUGCAUCCGUAGCAUUGUGCCAGGAGAGGGAAAGAUUUCCUUUCAUCUGUGCCUGCGGUAUUUAGCACUUUCCUGUAUAGUAUCACAAUCCUUAUAACAACUUGCCCAGUUUUACAGAUGAGAAAAUCGAGACCUCCAAGUUGUGCAUCUCAUCAGGUUUGUCUGAACCACACUAGGCUCUCUAAGGGGUGCACCAAAGCAGAAAAUGCAGUUUCUAUAUCACCAAGUUUGUGAGACAAAUGAACGUCCAUGAAAUCAAUAAGUCCUAAAGUAUGUGUAGAGAUGAGCAGGAAGGGAUGGUUAGUUUAGUAACAAUGAGAAGUCCACAUGUGAAAGGUGAAGGAAAUUGGUUGGGUCUUGCAGACUGGAAAAGACCCUUAAAAUAACAAGGCUGACACCGUGGUCCCCUGGUUAUAUAACUAACAUCAGGGUUCACUAAUUCAGAAGAAGAUCAUCUGAGUUAUGUUUCAUGAAAAGGCUGAAGCUGUACGAAAGUCAAGAGCAGCCUUACUAUGCUAUUUUCUUAUUUCUACACUUUUUCCCAAAUAAAAAUAACUCUUCAUUGCUAUGUUCAAAGACAACAAUUUCAUCAGAGUAAUUAUGAGUCUCAUCUCCACAGGCAUCUGCAGAUCUUUAAAGAUUAUUGUUUUGAUAGUUGCCUUUAAAGGUAGAUGCUGGAAUAUAACAUUUUCUAGCAAGAGACAACAUUUAUGGAAAACUCAUCAUCUGGAAACAAUACAGGACAAGAAGCAAUUUGAAGCUCACAGACAAUGUAUGCCUGGAGGAAGUGUUCUGUUCUGGGGUGAUGCCAUCAUGCCUGGGCUGCUCGUGUUAGUUCAGGAUCACUUUGUGGAUCAAACUUGCAGGAGAAGUUUGAGCUAUUGUAAGGUUUGGGAGCCAACGUGUGUUAAGAGCUGAUGGAGACAUAUCCUGUGUGUCUUCACUUUCUACUGAUCAUUAGACAGCAUCUUUACAAAUAAUCGAGUUUGAUUUGACUGGGAGUGGUUCAGAAGCUCAGUUGAGAUCUUGGAAAAUGUGUAACUCUAAGGUGGUUUUUGGGCUUCCCUGAUAUCAGCUACAUAUUUUUCCAUAUAUUUGUUCUGUUUUGUUUUUAUCUGCUGUACUUUCAGAGGAUGGUGUUCAAAAAUAGCCACUGAUUUCUUUCCAACCGUUUUUAAAUUGCUCAUUUUAGUGCAAGAAUAAAUGGGCAAAUGUCAAAAGCCUACUCUGACAGUUCUGUCUGUAUUUAGCACAACACUGGAGGACCCAAUUAUGAAACUUUUUACCUGCUCCAUAAGCUUGUCUUUCUCAGGGCCUGAAUUCCUGCUAAUACUUUCUUGGAGUCACAUUGAUUUUAUAAAGUCUC
rnacentral:lncRNA from 10 species